rnacentral:tRNA from 6 species
GCCUCUGUAGCUCAGUCGGUAGAGCAGAGGACUGAAAAUCCUCGUGUCAUUGGUUCGAUUCCGAUCGGAGGCACCA